UACGAAGGGUGCAAGCGUUAAUCGGAAUUACUGGGCGUAAAGCGUGCGUAGGCGGUUUCUUAAGUCUGCUGUGAAAUCCCCGGGCUCAACCUGGGAAUGGCAGUGGAAACUAGGGGACUGGAAUCUGGCAGAGGGGGGUGGAAUGCCGCGUGUAGCAGUGAAAUGCGUAGAGAUGCGGCGGAACACCGAUGGCGAAGGCAGCCCCCUGGGCUGAGAUUGACGCUCAGGCACGAAAGCGUGGGGAGCAAACAGG
rnacentral:rRNA from 1 species